AUUGAACGCUGGCGGCAUGCCUUACACAUGCAAGUCGAACGGCAGCACGGGAGCAAUCCUGGUGGCGAGUGGCGAACGGGUGAGUAAUAUAUCGGAACGUGCCCAGUAGUGGGGGAUAGCCCGGCGAAAGCCGGAUUAAUACCGCAUACGACCUAAGGGUGAAAGCGGGGGAUCGCAAGACCUCGCGCUAUUGGAGCGGCCGAUAUCAGAUUAGCUAGUUGGUGGGGUAAAAGCUCACCAAGGCGACGAUCUGUAGCUGGUCUGAGAGGACGACCAGCCACACUGGGACUGAGACACGGCCCAGACUCCUACGGGAGGCAGCAGUGGGGAAUUUUGGACAAUGGGCGCAAGCCUGAUCCAGCCAUGCCGCGUGUGGGAAGAAGGCCUUCGGGUUGUAAACCACUUUUGUCAGGGAAGAAACGGUCCUUACUAAUAUUAGGGGCUAAUGACGGUACCUGAAGAAUAAGCACCGGCUAACUACGUG
rnacentral:rRNA from 1 species